GGUUCUUUCUCUGAAAGUCUAAUUUCCCUCAUAUUUACUAUCUUCCUUAUUGUUGCCUUUCCCAGUAUGCAUACAUAUAAAUUUGAAAUUUCUUUGUUGACAUUAACAUUUGCAUUUCUCACAGAGAACAAACAAUUUCCUAACAGCAGUCUUCGAACAGUCCGGAAAGAAAAUGGGGUCCCACUUCAUCGAUUCCACCUGAUCCAACUUUAUGUAUCUGAACUGACAAUUGUCACUCUGAAACCAGUUCAGAACUACAUUGUUCUAGACAACUCCAGAAUAAUUAACUGAUAUGGUGCACAUUUUUAUUACACUCUGGCCAGAGCCUCAGACAAGAACUUCAAUCAAGCAUCUCCCGCCAAACAGAGACUUAGUACAAAUGUUGUAGCUAGUCCAUUUGAGACUUGUACUACACUAACAUUUUCUUCCUACAGGAUCACAUGAGAGUAUUGUCGUCCCAUUUCAGCAGAAAGUAAUUCUGAGACUACUGUGCCCCCUUUUCCCUACUGUUGAUAUUACAGGAUAUUUUAUACCUGUUUGAGUUAGUUUUCAAUUGUUUAAGGUUGGGAUUGAAAGGAGGUGUUCAGACUUGGGCAUAUCUUUCUGGUAAGUUUAGGGUUUAUAUGGGAUAGAUAUGCUUAGGAUGAGAUAGGUAGAUUAUUAUAUCUCCUGGUGAUUUAUAAUUUGUUUAUCGUAAUUCAUCAUACUGUGUAAAGUCUUGUUUCUAUUCAUGAUGUUUGAUGCAUUAAUAUUCUUAUCAUCUAUGUAUAUAUGCUUUAUAUCUGUUUGAGAUAUUUUGUAUAUUGACACAAUUUAGUUUUGUUUUAAGUGUAAAUCUUUUCUUUAGACUAAAAGGGGAAUUGUAGGGAGAGAUCUUACACACCUGUACCACUGACAACUCCUGUUUGGGCAUGGUCACAGGUACAUAGUAGGGACAGGAGAUAAGAGCUGGGGGAAAGGAGACACAGGCACUCUUGGGGUUCUGCUUGAGUCUUGGAGACCAGUAGAGCACUGAUCUCAGGUUCUCGGCUUCUCAUGAAAGUGACUUCUCCCUAAUAAAGUAUCAUAUGACAUCCUUUCCCUGUAUACUUGGUGUAGCUUAAUAUUCCUCUUUAAGCCCCAAUUAAAUGCUUUCUUUAUAAAUGUAGCCAGGUCAUGGUGUCUCCUCACAGCAAUAGAAACCCUAACUAAGACACCAAGGGAAUGUGGAGACAGAGGGACAUGAUAAAUGACAUGGGGUGGAAGCAGUCAGCUUAUUCCAGAAGGGAGGUCUUUACACAGGACAAAUGUCUUUGUUUUCUCAACCUACAGGAUUGGGAAAGAAAAAUAGAGGGAAAAAAACUCCAGAGGAGAGAGACUGAGACAAACUCACUGCAAUAGAAGUUAAAGUUUGCAUGUUUUGAUUUUUAAAAGCGAGUUUUGUGUGUAUAGGUGGCUGGCCUGCAUGUAUGUUUAUAUACCAUGUGAGUGCAGUAGCUGGGCGCCCGCUUUCUGUCUGACUGGAACAAAGCAAUGCACAACAGAGAGUCGAGAGGACCAGGAGAUUGACCAUGAGCUAGGGGUUAGAUCCUAAGCAAUGAGCACAGUUUGUCCUGGAGAUUCACACUCCAGCUCUUAGGUUCUAAGUGGAGUCCAGUUAGCAGCCUGACCUGUCCUUUGCUACCGACCCGAGGCCUGCACCAGACAAUGGGCUUUCCAGGGAGCUGCUGGCUCCUUCUCUUUCUCUUUGUCACUGGUCUCCUGGGAGAAUCUGAUUAUCUCUUUGCCAGAUGGAGCCAAGCAUGCAUGUACACACACACACACACACACACACACGCACGCACGCACGCACGCACGCACGCACGCACGCACACACACUCACACGCCUGCCUGGUCCACAGGGUGAGAUCCAAGUUAGUUGUCUGAUGCAGGAAACCCACAUGGCUUUUUACUCUGUUCACAAGGUGAGCUGCUGCUCAUGUAAGGUGGGCAUGAUCUGCCUACACCUGGCCCUGAAAAGGAGGGCAGCUGCAUCUUGCUCCAGAUGACACUGGUUCCCCACCCCCAUGGCAAGAGAACCUGAGAUUCUUGAGGCAGAAUCACAGCCGGACACCGAGCAGGGCCCAGAGGGUCUCCGUUGCUUUCAUUGGUCCGUCUUGCAUUGUGAGUCUUGCUCUCUGUCCAUCUCUGUCUGUCUGUCUGUCUUCCCUCCCUCUCUCCUCGCUCCCUCUCCCGCUUCUUUCCCCUGCAUUGAUGUGCCUUCUCUUGGCCUCUCUCCCUAAUUGUUCAUUUUCCUCAUUAGUCCUCCUCACUAGUCAGGCUCCCUCAUUGGUUUCUCCCUCACUAGCCACUCUCUUUCCUUGGUCUGUCUUCUGAUUGGUCCAAUCUUUCUCAUUGGCCUCUGUGGGGCACAGGCAGAUUUGCAGCACUGAGCACUGUUGGCCACUGAGCUGGUGGGAUGGGUGGUGUGAGCCGUUCUGUGCCUACUAGUUCCAGGAAAGAGAGCAGGGGCUGGGGCUCUUCUGAGCUGGUUCUCUGACAUGACCCCCCCAUACCUUUCCUGUUGACAGUCUACUGACCAUCUGUGACCAGCCAGCUGUGUUCCCCCAAGAGGUUGUCACCUGCACGGUUGUUUGGCUCUGGGAGGCAUAAGAUAGGGAGGCCAUUGGAGGGACUUCUGCUGAACAGCUGUGUCAUCGUCCUUGGUCUCAAACAGCUCACGCUCCCGUCUCUAGACACAGACCACGUUUCUAGAUGCUGAGUGAGGUGUGUGCUAUGUGCACCAUGGUUUUCCUCUUGGGAGUGCUAAGGAUUGAAGCUGAACCUUGCACAUGUUAGGCUGAUGUUCAAGCACUUGCACCCUGCUUGGAAGUGAGGCCUACCUGGCAGAAGCAGAUCACAAAGGAUGCGGUUUGGGAGGUCAUAGCUCUGUUCUUAGUUCCAGCCUGCUUCCUGGCCUGACAGGAUGUGAGCAGCCACCCGCCACACUCCCUGUCGUGGAUGGAACAGUGCUGCUGUGCCCUCCCCAUCACAAUGGACCGAAACCCCCGAAACUAUGAGCCGAAUGCAGCCUUCCCUCUCUCAAGCUGUUGCUGUUAUGUAUCUUGGUCACCGCUCUACAAAAAUGCCCAACAGGCCUGCCUUCUGCCAAGUAAGAACACAGCAACCAGGCACCAUCUUGUUUUACUUUGAAGACAAGAGUCUUAUGUAGCCUAAAUUGGCCUUGAACUCA